rnacentral:rRNA from 1 species
CCCCGGUAAACGGCGGCCGUAACUAUAACGGUCCUAAGGUAGCGAAAUUCCUUGUCGGGUAAGUUCCGACCUGCACGAAUGGCGUAAUGAUGGCCAGGCUGUCUCCACCCGAGACUCAGUGAAAUUGAACUCGCUGUGAAGAUGCAGUGUACCCGCGGCAAGACGGAAAGACCCCGUGAACCUUUACUAUAGCUUGACACUGAACAUUGAGCCUUGAUGUGUAGGAUAGGUGGGAGGCUUUGAAGUGUGGACGCCAGUCUGCAUGGAGCCGACCUUGAAAUACCACCCUUUAAUGUUUGAUGUUCUAACGUGGACCCGUAAUCCGGGUUGCGGACAGUGUCUGGUGGGUAGUUUGACUGGGGCGGUCUCCUCCUAAAGAGUAACGGAGGAGCACGAAGGUUGGCUAAUCCUGGUCGGACAUCAGGAGGUUAGUGCAAUGGCAUAAGCCAGCUUGACUGCGAGCGUGACGGCGCGAGCAGGUGCGAAAGCAGGUCAUAGUGAUCCGGUGGUUCUGAAUGGAAGGGCCAUCGCUCAACGGAUAAAAGGUACUCCGGGGAUAACAGGCUGAUACCGCCCAAGAGUUCAUAUCGACGGCGGUGUUUGGCACCUCGAUGUCGGCUCAUCACAUCCUGGGGCUGAAGUAGGUCCCAAGGGUAUGGCUGUUCGCCAUUUAAAGUGGUACGCGAGCUGGGUUUAGAACGUCGUGAGACAGUUC